AGCGAACGCUGGCGGCAUGCCUAACACAUGCAAGUCGAACGAGACCUUCGGGUCUAGUGGCGCACGGGUGCGUAACGCGUGGGAACCUGCCCUUAGGUUCGGAAUAACUCCCCGAAAGGGGUGCUAAUACCGGAUAAUGUCUUCGGACCAAAGAUUUAUCGCCUUUGGAUGGGCCCGCGUUGGAUUAGCUAGUUGGUAGGGUAAAAGCCUACCAAGGCGACGAUCCAUAGCUGGUCUGAGAGGAUGAUCAGCCACACUGGGACUGAGACACGGCCCAGACUACUACGGGAGGCAGCAGUGGGGAAUAUCGGACAAUGGGCGAAAGCCUGAUCCAGCAAUGCCGCGUGAGUGAUGAAGGCCUUAGGGUUGUAAAGCUCUUUUACCCGGGAUGAUAAUGACAGUACCGGGAGAAUAAGCUCCGGCUAACUCCGUG
rnacentral:rRNA from 1 species